AAUGGGGGAAACCCUGAUGCAGCCAUGCCGCGUGUGUGAAGAAGGCCUUCGGGUUGUAAAGCACUUUCAGUGGGGAGGAAGGGCUGAUGACUAAUAUUCAUCAGCAUUGACGUUACCCACAGAAGAAGCACCGGCUAACUCCGUGCCAGCAGCCGCGGUAAUACGGAGGGUGCAAGCGUUAAUCGGAAUAACUGGGCGUAAAGCGCACGCAGGCGGUUAGAUAAGUCAGAUGUGAAAGCCCCGGGCUCAACCUGGGAACUGCAUUUGAAACUGUCUGACUAGAGUCUUGUAGAGGGGGGUAGAAUUCCAGGUGUAGCGGUGAAAUGCGUAGAGAUCUGGAGGAAUACCGGUGGCGAAGGCGGCCCCCUGGACAAAGACUGACGCUCAGGUGCGAAAGCGUGGGGAGCAAA
rnacentral:rRNA from 1 species